AACGAACGCUGGCGGCAUGCCUAACACAUGCAAGUCGAACGAGACCUUCGGGUCUAGUGGCGCACGCGUGCGUAACGCGUGGGAACCUGCCCUUAGGUUCGGAAUAACUCCCCGAAAGGGGUGCUAACACCGGGAAAUGUAUUCGGACCAAAGAUUUAUCGCACUUGGUUGGGCACGCGUUGUUCAAGCUAGUUGGGAGUGUAAAAGCCUACCAAGGCGACGAUCCAUAGCUGGGCUGAGAGAAUGGACAGCCACACUGGGACUGAGACGCGGCCCGGACUCCUACGGGAGGCGGCAGUGGGUAAUAUAGGCAUACCGGCGGAAGCAAGAACCAGCACUGCCGCGUAAGUGAUGUAGGCAUUAAAGUAGUAAAGCUCUUUUACCCGGGGUGAUAAUGACGGUACCGGGAGAAUAAGCUCCGGCUAACUCCGUG
rnacentral:rRNA from 1 species